UGUUGGCAGAGUGCCCAAGGUUAGCACAUGUGUUUGUAAUUAGAAAGAUAAGGCCCCGUGCGGCGUUAACUCCCCUCGGCCUGCUGUCUGAAGGCACAGAUGUUGGCUGCACACCUGGGUGAGUUAUUCGGCAGAAGACUCGGCCCGCCCACAGAACCAUCUUUGGACAGUCUGCAGGUACCUCUGGUGAUUUCCUGCUCAUGAGUCGUUACUGCCUGAUUCCAUGGGGCUUUGGGACCAGUGACCUGGACACAGUAGGGUUCUGGGGAAGGGUACAUAAGAGACAGCUCAACACAUGUCUCAGAUUGGUGCUGUGUCAGUAAGAGUCUCUCUGCCAGGACCUUUUAGAAUGUGGAACAAUUUCAUGUUUUCCUUCCCUGUUGUAUGUAAUGCCUUAGUGACCAUUGACAGUUACUAGUGUUUGGUAUUAGUUCCUUCCUCUGCUUUGUUUGUUCUUCCAAGCCUCUCAGUGUCACUGGGUCUAGAGCAUAAGUUGCUCAUGGGCCAUGUAUCAACUUCAACAUUGUUAGGGUCCAUCAUAUUUCAUAUCUCCAAAGACUGAGCUGUGUGCUCCUGGAGGCUGUAACCUAGAAGAAGCAUGAGUGGAUUUCUGCUGGACUAAGCUUAGCUAGACACAGACUCUGUCAGUCUCCUAUGCUGAUGAGUUUGGGAAAUCUAAAUUUAAAGGGAUGGCUCUGGUUAAUUGAGGUUAUUUAGAGCUAUGUGUUAUUUAGAACUUCUUGGAAAGUUCUGGGAAAGACAUCCUGUUUUAUUUUGAGAAUAAUUCCUAUUGAAAUUCAUCUCCUCCAUAGACAACCUUUUGGAACUAAUGAAGUUUAUUGCUGUUCAUAGGAAUAAACUUCCUGUUGUCUCAUUCAGAACAAUUCUCAGAUUAGGCAUAUUUUCCCUUUAGACUAUUCUGGUUAUUUGUUAUAGCACAAGAUUAGUGUUUAACUGAAUUGUUUCUCUGCGACUCAUACACAGUAAAUGCUUUAAAUAGAUUAGGUAGUUUUAUAAACCUUUUACUUCUUGCCAGAUUCUACAUAAUGCAAAUGGGCAUGCCUAUUGGAUUUUCAUCACCUUAUUUUUUUUUCUUCCCAGCAUGUGUGAACUGUGUGCGGUGGUCAAACAGUGGGAUGUAUUUAGCUUCUGGGGGAGAUGACAAACUGAUUAUGGUGUGGAAGCGGGCUACGUAAGCAUCAUUUUCCUUUUUCACAUUUAAUUUUUAGAAGCUUCUUUGCUGGUCUUUAUCAAAGUCACCUUUCCCACCCUGGCAUAGAAGUCCUAACUUCAUAAGUAGCAAGAAGUUGCCAUAGGUCAGAAGUGGAUGAAGCCUGACAAGUGACUCGGAGGCUUCCAUUCUGCCUGCUGACCAGGCCAGCUAUCCUCUUGUAGGAACACAGUACUUAGCUGAGAAGGAAGGGUUAAUCCUUACAGCCACUGACAUUGUGGCUUCCUUUGUUUGUUAUUCAAAUAAAAUUUCACAUGAAACCCUUACAUACAAAAUGACUAAGAUCUGAAUCAGGGCUGGGAAUCCGGAGCCCACCUUCCUUGCCUCAUUUUGUGGCAGCCUUGCCUUGCAGUAAACUAAGGGUCAACUGUGGACAUUUUUUUCUUUAUCCUUGAGCGUAAUGGGUCCUGAUACUGUGUACCAUAAUAAGCUUUCCAUGUGGCUCUCGGUCACACUGUGUCCCAGACCUGGCAUCAUUGUUUAGCCAGAGUAACUGGAGGCAUAGCUUUGAGAGCUGAGUGAUGCCAUCUUCUGUGCUCACUUGGCUGCCUCAGGAGCUCUCUGGGUAAGUGUAUAGCUUUACAAGAGCAAAGGGUGUUUGUAGAGGCUCUGGACAUGGUGCCAUCUUCCAUGUAAUUCUACCUGGAAGGAGUCAGUCCUGUGACUCUUGUAUUUUUCUUCCUUAUUUUUUAAAGCAGGAAUAUUGAAUCCAUUAUAAAGGGGCUUAAAUUAUUGUUUUUUUUUUUUUUUUUUUGAGUUAGGCAUAGUGGCUCCUACCUGUGGACCCAGCUACUCAGGAGGGACUGGCUUGAACCCAGGAGUUUGAGAUUAUUCUGGGCAAUAUAGUGAGUGAGACCCUGCCUUCAAAUAAAAAUGUAGUUAAUAUUCUUCUUCUUCUUCUUUUUUUAAUUAAAAAAAGACAGGGGUCUCAUGUAGCCCAGACCCUUGGAUGACCUUGAACUUCUGAUCCGUCUGUCCCUACAUCCUGAGUGCUGAGAUUACCAGUGUGCAUCACAUGCCUGGGUGCUUAUAUUUACUUAUUUAUUUAUUUAUUUAUUUAUUUAUGAUACCCUACUUUAAAUAACCAACACAAAUACUAUGUUUAGUAUGCACUUUAGAAAUGUAAAAAUAGCUCAUAGUCCUACAACCUAAAGAAAGCCAUGGUUAAGCUUUUGUUUUUUCUGGUGUGUAUUUCUUUGCUCUAUUCCAUGUGUAGAGUGUCUGUGCUACAUGUAGUUUUUAAGUCAUGUAAAUGGUAUCAUACUGUAUGUAGAUGGUGGCCCGUGGUCUGCUUUUCUCUCACUUUGUCUUGAAAAUUUUCCUGUUGAAGAUUUGUAGUGGCUGAGGAUUAUUUCACAAGUGCAUGGAUUGAUCCUAAGUUACCACUUCUGCCACAUCUUUUGUUUAACUGGUGCUUUUAGCUGCUAUCUGGUUUUGCCUUUUCUGUUUGCUAUGAUAAGCUGUGCCACAGGGAGCACCUUUAAACAGUAUCUAGAACACUCCUUGAGUGCAUAUCUCAUGCCUCUUUCACACAGGUACAUUGGGCCCAGCACUGUGUUUGGUUCCAGUGGUAAGCUUGCCAAUGUGGAGCAAUGGCGGUGUGUCUCCAUCCUCCGGAGUCACUCAGGCGGUAAGUAGGCUCCUUUGUUUGGGUGAGUGGAUCCCUUUUUUUUUUUUUUUUUUUCGAGACAGGGUUUCUCUGUGUAGCCCUGGCUGUCCUGGAACUCACUUUGUAGACCAGGCUGGCCUCGAAUUCAGAAAUCCGCCUGCCUCUGCCUCCUGAGUGCUGGGAUUAAAGGCGUGCACCACCGCGCCCGGCGUGGAUCCCUUUUGAUUGCCUUAGAUAACAAUUAACACCCCUAUGUACUGUUUGGUCCUUAAAGUACUACCUGGGAUUUCCCUAUCAUCGCUUGUCCUUGCUUAAGGUUCUGGCUCCUUCACCUGCCUUCACUUGCAUUCAAUUACCAACACAUACUGUUAAAACAUGUAAAUGUAUGUGUUUAGCAUGGAGCUCCCAGCCUUUCAUUGCUUAUUCUGCAGGAGUACUUUCAUUCUUAGAUCAUAAACACAUUCGAUCUACUCCUGAGAUACAAGCCUGUAGGUACUUACUAGAAAAUUUCUUUCUUUCUUUUUUUUCUUUUUCAUUCAUUCAUUCUUUUUACAUACAUACAUAUAUACCAUACAUAAAUUAAUUUGUGUGUAUGAGCAUGUCUACUACAUGAACAUGUAGAGGUGAGAUGACACUUGCCUGAGUCAGUUCCCUUGCUCUACCAUGUGGGUUCUGAGGAUCAAAGUUAGUUUGCCAGGCUUAGUAGCAAGCCACUGAGCCAUCUAGUUCAGACUUUGGAGAAGGCUGUGAUGCUGCAAGGAAGAAACUCCUUAAAAAAACAAAACAAAAUAAAACAAGAAUAUACAAAUAUCCGUUAGGAUUGAGCCUGGAACUCUAGGAGAAUACAAGGUCAUAGGGAUAGAUUUCAAUUCACUAGUAGUAUAUACUCAACAGAUUCUUUUAACUUUAAGUGAAUAAACUAAUUUCUUAAAAAUAUUUUUGGAGAUUAUAUUGUUGUGUGAGUGAAUGUCUUUGGGUAUAUAUCUGUGUACUACAUGUAUGUGGUGCCUGUGGAGGUCAGAAGAGGAAUGUUGGAUCUUUUUGAACUGGUGUCUAAGGUGAUUGCUAGCCACAAUAUAGGUGCUGGAAAUUGAACUGGAGUUCUUUGGAAUUGCAGCCUGUGUUUUUAACUGCUGACCCAUCUCUUCAGCCUGCCUUGCCCCCUCUCUAAAAGAUACUUCAUUAUAAAUUAUGUGUUCAGGCUGGGAAGGUGGUACAUGCUUUUAAUCUUAGUACUCAUGAAGUAGAGGCAGGCAGAUCUCUCAGCCAGCUUGGUCCACAUAAUGAAUUCCAGGCCAGCCAAGGCUAAACAGUGAGACCCUGUACCCC
rnacentral:lncRNA from 1 species